rnacentral:lncRNA from 1 species
UUCAUUUUUUUACUUGCUACUUUGCAACUUAAAGGAAGUUAGUGUCUCCUCCAUCCUACCCCAGCAAGGGCCAAGCAGAGUGAUGUCCAAAUCAGCCUGACAACAAAGAAUGGGCCCGAGUCUCCUUUGCUGUGACCUAGUCCAGGAUCACCACAGGAUUCAGGAUCUCCA